rnacentral:misc_RNA from 1 species
GGAAGGAUCAUUAAAACACGAUUCAAAUCGUAUUAACCAACCGCGCAUCCGUUUUGUUUUAUAACUUUGCCGGGAAUGCAAAGCAAGAGAGUUGAGGCAGUGUGGCUUGCUUGCAAGCUUGCUCUCUUGUCCGCCUGAACCUCCGCGUUCGGGGAGUACCAGUGGAGUAUGCUGCUGCGCUCUGACAGAGCCGCAAGGCUUUGUCUGAGUCGCUUUUUAUUUCUAUUUACCCUAUUUAUGAAGUUGUACUAAAAAGUCAUUCUUUUCGUUUAAGAAACAAAAGAACAACUCUUAGCAACGGAUAUCUAGGCUCUCGUAACGAUGAAGAACGCAGCGAAAUGCGAUACGUAAUGCGAAUUGCAGAAUUCAGUGAAUCAUCAAAUCUUUGAACGCAUCUUGCGCUCUCGGGUAGCCCUGGGAGCAUGCUUCUUUGAGUCUCGUUUCUACCCAACUCAGCCUGCGUGCUUUAAUCGGUGCGCAUGGUUUCUGGAGAAUGAGAGUUAUGGUGUUACAGCUAUAUCUCUUUAAAUGAAGUGCGCUUCAUAUCAUCUAGUUGAACGGCUCGAUAGGUCGAGUCUUCAUACCAAACUAGUAUGAUGUUUGAUAAUUGCCCUUCGUGGCAUUACAAAUAUCACAUCGUACUGGGAAGACUAGGAUCACGUCAGGCUCGUGUCGCUUGCGACGCUAGACUGGGUGCAUAUUGACUAGCGAUACAACCAAAACUUACUCAAAAAUUUGAGCUCAGAUGAAGCAAGAUUACCCGCCGAAUUUAAGCAUAUUAUUAAGCGGAGGAAAAGAAACUAACAAGGAUUCCCCUAGUAACGGCGAGUGAAGCGGGAAAAGCUCAAAGUUAAAAUCGGCGCUCUUAGCGGGGUGUCCGAAUUGUAAUCUAGAGACGCCAUCUCAGUUGUGACGUAGGUAUAAAUCUUUUGAAACAAGGUAUCAUAGAGGGUGAGAAUCCCGUCUUUGACCUGCAGAUCGCAACGUACGAGGGGUGUUCCAAGAGUCGAAUAGCUUGGGAAUGCUGUUCUAAAUGGGUGGUAAAUUCCAUCUAAAGCUAAAUAUCGACGAGAGACCGAUAGCGAACAAGUACCGUGAGGGAAAGAUGAAAAGAACUUUGAAAAGAGAGUUAAACAGUACUUGAAAUUGUUAAGAGGUAAGCAAUGGAAACCAGUUAUGGGUGUGCUCAUAUUCCUACUGGGAGUUUUUGGAGCUGGGUUGCCAGACCUUAAAAGCUGGUGGGCUCUUCACUGGGGGCUCUCAGUAGCAUCUAUGAGUGUGUCCAGGUCAACAUCAGGUUCGCCUGCGGGAGAAAGCAUCUGGAAGGUGGACACUCUUCGGAGUGUAGUUUAUAGCCAGGUGUCCUACCGUGGGCGGGCCUGAGGAAACGACAAGGCGCCCCGUCAGGGUGCUCCAACUUACCCUGGGGGUUCACUGGGCGAGGAUAACAAAGUUAUGCUCGUUUGGUGGGCUUCUACUGGUGGGUGACGAGACAGCGUCUUAGCGAUGUUGACAAAAUGGUUUUCAUUGACCCGUCUUGAAACACGGACCAAGGAGUCUAACAUAUAUGCGAGUAUUUGGGUGAGUAAAACCCUGAUGCGCAAUGAAAGUGAAGGUACACUCAGUGUACUGAGGUAGGAACCCGCAAGGGGGCACUAUCGACCGAUCGUUCAUUCAUGAAAGAUUUGAGUAAGAGCAUAUCUGUUGGGACCCGAAAGAUGGUGAACUAUGCCUGAACAGGGUGAAGCCAGGGGAAACUCUGGUGGAGGCUCGUAGCGAUACUGACGUGCAAAUCGUUCGUCUGAUUUGGGUAUAGGGGCGAAAGACUAAUCGAACCAUUUAGUAGCUGGUUCCCGC